rnacentral:rRNA from 1 species
UACGGGGGGAGCAAGCGUUGUUCGGAUUUACUGGGCGUAAAGGGCGCGUAGGCGGCGCAACAAGUCACUUGUGAAAUCUCCGGGCUUAACCCGGAGCGGCCAAGUGAUACUGUCGUGCUAGAGUGCGGAAGGGGCUACUGGAAUUCUCGGUGUAGCGGUGAAAUGCGUAGAUAUCGAGAGGAACACCUGCGGCGAAGGCGGGUAGCUGGGCCGACACUGACGCUGAGGCGCGAAAGCCAGGUGAGCGAACGGG